rnacentral:rRNA from 1 species
AUUGAACGCUGGCGGCAGGCCUAACACAUGCAAGUCGAGCGGCGCGGCGGACGGGUGCGUAAUGCCUAGGAAUCUGCCUGGUAGUGGGGGAUAACGUCAGGCACCGGGAGCUAAUACAGCAUACUAUUAGAUGAGCAUAGGGCGGAUUAGCUAUUGGGUGGGGUAAAGGCCUACCAAGGCGACGAUCCGUAACUGGGCUGAGAGGAUGAUCAGUCACACUGGAACUGAGACACGGUCCAGACUCCUACGGGAGGCAGCAGUGGGGAAUAUUGGACAAUGGGCGAAAGCCUGAUGCAGCCAUGCCGCGUGUGUGAAGAAGGUCUUCGGAUUGUAAAGCACUUUAAGUUGGGAGGCGUUACCAACAGAAGAAGCACCGGCUAACUUCGUGCCAGCAGCCGCGGUAAUUC